GGGCGUGUAACUCAGCGGGAGAGUAUUACCUUCACACGGUAGGAGCCACAGGUUCGAAUCCUGUCACGCCCA
rnacentral:tRNA from 1 species